ensembl:snRNA U6 U6 spliceosomal RNA
GUGCAGGCUUUGGCAGCACAUAUACUAAAAUUGGAAUCACACAGAGAAGAUUAGCAUGACCCCUGUGCAAGGAUGGCACACACAUUUCAGAAGCAUUCUAUAUUUUU